AGCACCAGCAGUUGUGUUUGAAGCACUUUGAGGACGGUUCUUCUGAAAUCAACCCCUUAAGAAUCAGGAAGAACGGAUGGCUGCUGAAAGAGGCCGUUCCCAAGAAGUUCAUCCUGGGGGAAGAUGGGAACUGCCUCGUCAGGACCCCUCACAGACUCUGUGGUAGAAAAAGUAAUUAAACUCAGAGGUGAAUCCGCAGCUCCUGAAGCUGGAAUCUGCAGACAGCGACCUCUAUUUUUUGUACAACUCUGAUCAGCUAAAAGAAGAGUAUGUGCUGUGCCCUGCAGGAGAAGGAAUCAGCUGGGGAAAAGCAAGUGUGUGUCAGCAAGGCAGUGAGGAGCGACUGAUGGCACACUGUGCCAGACAGCUGAGGUGCACCUGUGUGGCUGCAUCAGUUCAAGACCCUCCACUGGUGAACACUUGAGCUUUUCAGUCUUCUAGUUAUGGAAUUAAAAAUGGGAAGACAAAUACUGCUCCUCCUGCUCCUAGCUCUCCCCUUAGGUGUCAGAGCAGCUGUGGCAGUCAUUUGCAGUCAUUUCCUCAUUGGAUCCAUGUGCAGAGGGAAAGGGAGAGGUGCAUUUAGACAGUGGGUUGCACAGGUAUUCAUGGGAAAACGGUGCCUCAAAGUGUUUGCUUACAGUCCUG
rnacentral:lncRNA from 1 species